rnacentral:rRNA from 1 species
UACGGGGGGGAGCAAGCGUUGUUCGGAUUUACUGGGCGUAAAGGGGCGCGUAGGCGGCGUGACAAGUCACUUGUGAAAUCUCCGGGCUUAACUCGGAACGGUCAAGUGAUACUGUCGUGCUAGAGUACAGAAGGGGCAACUGGAAUUCUCGGUGUAGCGGUGAAAUGCGUAGAUAUCGAGAGGAACACCUGCGGCGAAGGCGGGUUGCUGGGCUGAUACUGACGCUGAGGCGCGAAAGCUAGGGGAGCGAACGGG